GAUGAACGCUAGCGGCAGGCCCAAUACGUGCAAGUCGAACGGUGUCUUCGGACAUAGUGGCGCACGGGUGCGUAACACGUAUGCAACCUACCUUACAUUGGGGGAUAGCCUUUCGAAAGGGAGAUUAAUACCGCAUAAGACAGUAGCUGGGCAUCCAGCAGCUGUUAAAGAUUUAUCGAUGUAAGCUGGGCAUGCGUCCAAUUAGCUAGUUGGUGAGGUAACGGCUCACCAAGGCAAUGAUUGGUAGGGGAACUGAGAGGUCAAUCCCCCACACUGGCACUGAGAUACGGGCCAGACUCCUACGGGAGGCAGCAGUAGGGAAUAUUGGGCAAUGGACGCAAGUCUGACCCAGCCAUGCCGCGUGCAGGAUGAAGGCGUUAUGCGUUGUAAACUGCUUUUAUACAGGAAGAAACGACUCUUGCGAGAGGCAUUGACGGUACUGUAUGAAUAAGCACCGGCUAACUCCGUGCCAGCCGCCGCAGUAACAC
rnacentral:rRNA from 1 species